GGAAACCCUAUCUCAAACAACAACAAAUAUGAACUACCUGUGUAGGCCAGAGGUUGUUAUCCACUGUCUUGCUCUAUCACCCUUUAGCUUAUUUUUUAUUUGUGCGUGUGCACACGCGGGUGUGUAAGGAGUGGGCCUCCGUGGAGCUGACGCUGGGCAUCCUCCUCCCGUGUUACUCUCUACUGUAUUCGCUUGAGGCAGGGUCUCCCCCUGAGCCUGAAGCACUCCAUCUUCCCGCCAGGCUCUCAGGCUUCUCCUUCCUCCCCUGAUUAAUUUUGCUUGCUUUCUCCUUUGGAAUCAACUGGUUAAAUUUUUCUUCCUUCUCUUCCCAAAUUGUACUGGAUUCUAGGUAAAUAGGGUAGGAGGAAGUCUAUUUUUUUUUUUUAUCAUAUUAGCUUCCUUUCUAGGGUAGCGUAUCACCUUAUUCUUUAAUCCGUCUAUCAUGCUUUCAACAGAGUUUUCUUUAUAACCACUCUACAUUUAUUUUAGUUAACUAAUUUUUGAGACAGCUGAAGAAUGAAAGAGCAAGAAAAUUUAUAUCAACCUCUGGCCUACACAGGUGGACUUGUUUCUAUCGGCCCCUCCUUCUAGCCUGACCACUGGACUGGCCUACAGCCUCCUUCCAGCUCUCAGCCGGUGUUGUAACCCCCGAAUUACGGAUGCUAACUCUCUACGGAUAAUUGUCCUGUUUCUUAAAAGUCUCACCAGAGAGACUUCAGUGUUGUGUACAGACAGUUUGCCUCUGCGUUUUCCCUCACAGAAGCUUCCAUCCUCCUUCCAGCCUGAGGCAAUCGAGAUAUGCAGACAGCUGGUUUCUGUGCUGCAUCCUCCUGCAACAAGCCCCGGGCUCCCUGCCCUUCCCUGACCACUCCAAGAGAACCCAGCCUAGCGUUAGAACGACACAACCCAUAACCACCACCACCCCCAAUGGAAGUAUUCUGAGGAGCCAAAUGCCAGCACCAGGCAUACCCCUCCCCUCCUCUGCAUCUCCAAAGACCACCACUUUUCCUGAUAAACAGCCGAACUCUCCAGGUGCCUGUCCUUAAGACCUUAAAGAAAUAACAAACUCUAAGGAGAUUAGGACCCUGAGUUUAAAUCAUGGAGAAAGGGUAAUCAGAGGUCACAGAUAGUUACAACUGGCCACAAAAUUAGUCCCUAAACAGACACCCAUUAACUACCCUCCUGGCUUCAGUUCCAUCCCACCAAAUGGUUACAGCCCUCCACUCCCCUUUUCUGUGAACAUUCAGGGGAUUCCUGACUAUACUGUAUAUAAACCCAGUGACUCAGGCAUCACUUGCCAGCAUUCACCCUGUGAGUGCAAGGCAUGUGAUCCGAGUUUGAACUUGGAAACAAUA
rnacentral:lncRNA from 1 species